rnacentral:rRNA from 1 species
AACGAACGCUGGCGGCAGGCCUAACACAUGCAAGUCGAGCGCACCCUUCGGGGUGAGCGGCGGACGGGUGAGUAACGCGUGGGAACGUGCCCUUCUCUGCGGAAUAGCCUCGGGAAACUGAGAGUAAUACCGCAUACGCCCUUUGGGGGAAAGAUUUAUCGGGGCAGGAUCGGCCCGCGUUGGAUUAGGUAGUUGGUGGGGUAAUGGCCCACCAAGCCGACGAUCCAUAGCUGGUUUGAGAGGAUGAUCAGCCACACUGGGGAUGAGACCCGGCCCAGAACCCUACGGGAGGGAGGAGUGGGGAAUCUUAGACAAUGGGGGCAAACCUGAUAAAGCCAUGCCGCGUGAGUGAUGAAGGCCUUAGGGUUGUAAAGCUCUUUCAGCUGGGAAGAUAAUGACGGUACCAGCAGAAGAAGCCCCGGCUAACUCCGUG